rnacentral:lncRNA from 1 species
GGACUUCGCCUUUAACCUUGAUUGCAGGAAGACUUCGUCCGGACUCCUGUGGGAGCCAGGCUCCGUCCUCGAUUCCAACGGCUGCAGACAGUCUUCGUCCGGACCUCUACGGUGGCCGGACUCCGACCACUGCCGAACUUCAGCCGACAGAUCUGCACUUCCAAGCCACAAUCACGGCCACGAUUCUGCUACAUUUCCUGCGGCGGAUUCCGCGCAGCUCCACCACUCCCUGACAGGCCGCAGUAACGAUCGCAGCACUGCUCCACUCCCUAUGACGGAUCCCACGCGGCUCCAUUACUAUCUGACCAGCCACGAUAAACGGCCACGAUCCUGCUCCACCUCCUGCAACGGAUACUGCGCGAUUCUCCCAUCCACUGGCAAGUCACGACGACAAACGCCACCCC